rnacentral:ncRNA from 1 species
CAUUGUCUGUGGGGGUGCCGAACGUAUGGCUGAGAUGAUACCCCAAGAAGUCCAUUAAUGUGGCUUCACGAACCUGAUCUGGGUAAUGCCAGCGUAGGAAAUAAGGAGAUAAACUUAU